GACGAACGCUGGCGGCGUGCUUAACACAUGCAAGUCGAACGGUGAAGGGGAGCUUGCUCCCCGGAUCAGUGGCGGACGGGUGAGUAACGCGUGGGUAACCUGCCCUGUACACACGGAUAACAUACCGAAAGGUAUGCUAAUACGAGAUAAUAUGCUUUUAUCGCAUGGUAGAAGUAUCAAAGCUUUUGCGGUACAGGAUGGACCCGCGUCUGAUUAGCUAGUUGGUAAGGUAACGGCUUACCAAGGCGACGAUCAGUAGCCGACCUGAGAGGGUGAUCGGCCACAUUGGAACUGAUACACGGUCCAAACUCCUACGGGAGGCAGCAGUGGGGAAUAUUGCACAAUGGGCGAAAGCCUGAUGCAGCAACGCCGCGUGAGCGAUGAAGGCCUUCGGGUCGUAAAGCUCUGUCCUCAAGGAAGAUAAUGACGGUACUUGAGGAGGAAGCCCCGGCUAACUACGUGCCAGCCGCCGCGGUAAAAC
rnacentral:rRNA from 1 species